rnacentral:tRNA from 1 species
GUCAUACUAGUUUAACAAGAACCUGUGUUUUGCAUACACAAAGUAGAAUCAUUUCUGUAUGACC